GACGAACGCUGGCGGCGUGCUUAACACAUGCAAGUCGAACGGACAGGCGCUGCUUUUGCGGGGCGCUCGAGUGGCGAACGCGUGAGUAACACGUGAGUAACCUGCCCCUGUAUUUGGGAUAACUUCACGAAACUGGGGCUAAAACCCGAUAGGAGCUCCUGCUCCAUGGUGGGCGUUGGAAAAUUUCGGCGGUUGGGGCUGGACUCGCGGCUUAUGAGCUUGUUGGUGGGGUAGGGGCUUACAAAGGCUUUGACGGGUAGCCGGCCUGAGAGGUGGAACGGCGACAAUGGGCCUGCGAGAGGGCGCAGACGCGAACGGGAGGCAGUAGUGGAGAACAUUGCACAAUGACGGGGAGUCUGAGGCAGAGACGUUCGGUGCGGAAUGAUGGCUUUCGGGUUGUAAACCGCUUUGGACUGUGACGAAGAGGGAGUGACGGUAAUGGGUAAAGAAGCAACGGCUAACUACGUG
rnacentral:rRNA from 1 species